UGAAUACGAGAUGCUACGGCGUCGAAGCAGUGUAUGUCAGACUUCCAAGAAAAGCUCGCAAUGUCAUAAAUAAAGAAUGCCUGUACCAUAACCGACACAGGUGGGUAGGUAGAGUAUACUAAGGGGCGCGAGAUAACUCUCUCUAAGGAACUCGGCAAAAUAACUCCGUAACUUCGGGAGAAGGAGUGCCUUCUUCAAGAAGGUUGCAAUAACAAGAUCCAAGCAACUGUUUAUCAAAAACACAGGUCUCCGCUAAGUCGUAAGACGAUGUAUGGGGGCUGACGCCUGCCCAGUGCCAGAAGGUUAAAGAAGUUGGUUAGCUUUUGCGAAGCUGAUGACUGAAGCCCUGGUGAACGGCGGCCGUAACAAUAACGGUCCUAAGGUAGCGAAAUUCCUUGUCGGGUAAGUUCCGACCCGCACGAAAGGCGUAAUGAUUUGGACACUGUCUCGGAGAGGGACUCGGUGAAAUAGACUUGUCUGUGAAGAUGCGGACUACCUGCACCAGGACAGAAAGACCCUAUGAAGCUUUACUGUAACUUGAAAUUGAAAUUGGACUUUAUUUGCGCAGUAUAGGUGGAAGGCGUUGAAAGUAAUCUUGCGGGAUUAGUGGAGCCAUCAGUGAGAUACCACUCCUAUAAUGUUAGAUUUCUAACUUUGGAUCAUGAUCUGGUCAAAGAACAGUUUCAGGCGGGCAGUUUGACUGGGGCGGUCGCCUCCCAAAUGGUAACGGAGGCGUACAAAGGUUUCCUCUGAACGGGUAGAAAUCGUAUCUAGAGUGUAAAGGCAUAAGGAAGCUUGACUGUGAGACCUACAAGUCGAGCAGGGAAAAGUCGGUCUUAGUGAUCUGACGGUGCUGAGUGGAAAGGCCGUCACUCAACGGAUAAAAGUUACUCUAGGAUAACAGGCUGAUCUCCCCCAAGAGUUCACAUCGACGGGGAGGUUUGGCACCUCGAUGUCGGCUCAUCGCAUCCUGGGGCGGUAGUACGUCCCAAGGGUUGGGCUGUUCGCCCAUGAAAGCGGUACGCGAGCUGGGUUCAGAACGUCGUGAGACAGUUCGGUCCAUAUCCGGUGUAGGCGUUAGAAUAUUGAGAGGAGCCUUCUUUAGUACGAGAGGACCGAGAAGGACAUACCUCUGGUGUACCAGUUAUCGUGCCAACGGUAAACGCUGGGUAGCUAUGUAUGGAGAGGAUAACCGCUGAAAGCAUCUAAGUGGGAAGCCCACCUCAAGAUGAG
rnacentral:rRNA from 1 species